rnacentral:rRNA from 1 species
AACUUUCAACAACGGAUCUCUUGGUUCUGGCAUCGAUGAAGAACGCAGCGAAAUGCGAUAAGUAAUGUGAAUUGCAGAAUUCAGUGAAUCAUCGAAUCUUUGAACGCACAUUGCGCCCUUGGCAUUCCAUAGGGCAUGCCUGUUCGAGGUCAC